rnacentral:rRNA from 1 species
UACAGAGGUGGCAAGCGUUGUUCGGAAUUACUGGGCGUAAAGGGCGCGUAGGCGGUUCGAUAAGUCCUGUGUGAAAUCCCUCGGCUCAACUGAGGAACUGCACGGGAGACUGUCGGGCUUGAGUUCGGGAGAGGGAAGCGGAAUUCCGGGUGUAGCGGUGAAAUGCGUAGAUAUCCGGAGGAACACCGGUGGCGAAGGCGGCGUUCUGGACUGCAUCUGACACUGAAAGACGAAAGCCAGGGGAGCAAACGGG